CCCUGUUCUCAGGGCGGGGUGAAACUCCCCACCGGCGGUAAGGGCUCAGCGCCGCGCGUCAAAUAUGACGCGCAACGGACGCUGUGACACUUGAAAGCUGCUGCAUAAUUUUCUCCUUAAAUCGGAUUGGAUUUAAGGAAUUAUGCAGCAGGCCCAAGCCCGCGAGCACUUCAGGCGCUGUCGUGUCGGAAGGUUAGCAGAUCCGGUGCGAUUCCGGAGCCGACGGUCACAGUCCGGAUGAAAGAGAAUGAUC
rnacentral:ncRNA from 2 species